rnacentral:rRNA from 1 species
GUCUUGAAACACGGACCAAGCAGUCUUGCAUGUGCGCGAGUCAUUGGGAACAACUAAACCCAAAGGCGCAAUGAAAGUGAAGGUCCGCCUUGCGCGGACCGAGGGAAGAUGGGCGGACGGGCCUAACACGCUCGCGCGUCCCGCACUCCCGGGGCGUCUCGUUCUCAUUGCGAGAAGAGGCGCACCAAGAGCGUACACGCUGGGACCCGAAAGAUGGUGAACUAUGCCUGGUCAGGACGAAUCAGGGGAAACCCUGAUGGAGGUCCGUAGCGAUUCUGACGUGCAAAUCGAUCGUCGGAACUGGGUAUAGGGGCGAAAGACUAAUCGAACCAUCUAGUAGCUGGUUCCCUCCGAAGUUUCCCUCAGGAUAGCUGGCGCUCGUCGCCUACGAGUCUCAUCCGGUAAAGCGAAUGAUUAGAGGCAUUGGGGUCGAAACGGCCUCAACCUAUUCUCAAACUUUAAAUGGGUGAGAUCUCCGGCUUGCUCGAACUACUGAAGCCGCGAGACACGGAUCAGAGUGCCAAGUGGGCCAUUUUUGGUAAGCAGAACUGGCGCUGUGGGAUGAACCAAACGCCGAGUUAAAGCGCCUAAAUCGACGCUUAUGGGAUACCAUGAAAGGCGUUGGUAACUUAAGACAGCAGGACGGUGGCCAUGGAAGUCGGAAUCCGCUAAGGAGUGUUGU